rnacentral:rRNA from 1 species
UGAGGAAUAUUGGUCAAUGGGCGAGAGCCUGAACCAGCCAAGUAGCGUGCAGGAUUACGGCCCUAUGGGUUGUAAACUGCUUUUAUAUGGGAAUAAAGUGAGGGACUUUUCCCUUAUUGCAUGUACCAUACGAAUAAGGACCGGCUACUUCCGUGCCAGCAGCCGCGGUAAUACGGAAGGUCCAGGCGUUAUCCGGAUUUAUUGGGUUUAAAGGGAGCGUAGGCUGUUUGUUAAGCGUGUUGUGAAAUGUAAGAGCUCAACUUUUAGAUUGCAGCGCGAACUGGCAGACUUGAGUGCGCACAACGUAGGCGGAAUUCAUGGUGUAGCGGUGAAAUGCUUAGAUAUCAUGACGAACUCCGAUUGCGAAGGCAGCUUACGGGAGCGCAACUGACGCUAAAGCUCGAAGGUGCGGGUAUCGAACAGG